AUCGCUUCUCGGCCUUUUGGCUAAGAUCAAGUGUAGUAUCUGUUUUACCAGUUUAAUAAAAUGAGUAUUCUGAGAUUGUGAAAAAAAUUUUAAACAGAGGGGAAUUAAGGAGAUUAAAGGGAAAUUGGUACUUCUAAAAAGCUAGCUUUGAUGACAUAAGUGCUACAAUACAGGCUAUCCAUA
ensembl:snRNA U2 U2 spliceosomal RNA